rnacentral:rRNA from 1 species
UACGGGGGGAGCAAGCGUUGUUCGGAUUUAUUGGGCGUAAAGAGCGUGUAGGCGGCCAGGUAGGUCUGGUGUGAAAACUCGAGGCUCAACCUCGAGAUGUCGGCGGAAACCGUCUGGCUAGAGUCCGGAAGAGGAGAGUGGAAUUCCUGGUGUAGCGGUGAAAUGCGCAGAUAUCAGGAAGAACACCUAUGGCGAAGGCAGCUCUCUGGGACGGUACUGACGCUGAGACGCGAAAGCGUGGGGAGCGAACAGG